UAGGCCUGUACAACCAGCCAGCCAGCCAUAGGCCUGUACAACUAGCCAGCCAGCCAUAGGCCUGUACAACUAGCCAGCCAGCCAUAGGCCUGUACAACCAGCCAGCCAGCCAUAGGCCUGUACAACCAGCCAGCCAGCCAUAGGCCUGUACAACUAGCCAGCCAGCCAUAGGCCUGUACAACCAGCCAGCCAGCCAUAGGCCUGUACAACCAGCCAGCCAGCCCUAGGCCUGUACAACCAGCCAGCCAGCCAUAGGCCUGUACAACCAGCCAGCCAGCCAUAGGCCUGUACAACUAGCCAGCCAGCCAUAGGCCUGUACAACCAGCCAGCCAGCCAUAGGCCUGUACAACCAGCCAGCCAGCCAUAGGCCUGUACAACCAGCCAGCCAGCCAUAGGCCUGUACAACCAGCCAGCCAGCCAUAGGCCUGUACAACCAGCCAGCCAGCCAUAGGCCUGUACAACCAGCCAGCCAGCCAUAGGCCUGUACAACCAGCCAGCCAGCCAUAGGCUUGUACAACUAGCCAGCCAGCCAUAGGCCUGUACAACUAGCCAGCCAGCCAUAGGCCUGUACAACUAGCCAGCCAGCCAUAGGCCUGUACAACUAGCCAGCCAGCCAUAGGCCUGUACAACCAGCCAGCCAGCCAUAGGCCUGUACAACCAGCCAGCCAGCCAUAGGCCUGUACAACUAGCCAGCCAGCCAUAGGCCUGUACAACCAGCCAGCCAGCCAUAGGCCUGUACAACUAGCCAGCCAGCCAUAGGCCUGUACAACCAGCCAGCCAGCCAUAGGCCUGUACAACUAGCCAGCCAGCCAUAGGCCUGUACAACUAGCCAGCCAGCCAGCCGGCCAGCCAUAGGCCUGUACAACCAGCCAGCCAGCCAGCAAUAAGUAGCUGUCACACCUUCUGCCUUGUAGGAUGUUGUUAACACUGUGAGGUCAGGGCCUUGUAGGAUGUUGUUAACACUGUGAGGUCAGGGCCUUGUAGGAUGUUGUUAACACUGUGAGGUCAGGGCCUUGUAGGAUGUUGUUAACACUGUGAGGUCAGGGCCUUGUAGGAUGUUGUUAACACUGUGAGGUCAGGGCCUUGUAGGAUGUUGUUAACACUGUGAGGUCAGGGCCUUGUAGGAUGUUGUUAACACUGUGAGGUCAGGGCCUUGUAGGAUGUUGUUAACACUGUGAGGUCAGGGCCUUGUAGGAUGUUGUUAACACUGUGAGGUCAGGGCCUUGUAGGAUGUUGUUAACACUGUGAGGUCAGGGCCUUGUAGGAUGUUGUUAACACUGUGAGGUCAGGUCCUUGUAGGAUGUUGUUAACACUGUGAGGUCAGGGCCUUGUAGGAUGUUGUUAACACUGUGAGGUCAGGUCCUUGUAGGAUGUUGUUAACACUGUGAGGUCAGGUCCUUGUAGGAGGUUGUUAACACUGUGAGGUCAGGGCCUUGUAGGAUGUUGUUAACACUGUGAGGUCAGGGCCUUGUAGGAUGUUGUUAACACUGUCAGGGGAUUUAAACCCUUGUCUUCUCAUCCCAGAACAAAGACACAAGCCCCAGAGAGAGAGAGAGA